AGCUUUUAAUUAACAUUGAUUAUCAGCUGUUUUGUACGGAAAACGUGGAAUCUAAAUAAUAUACCGUUUCCCUGCUCUGCUGCUAUUGGCAAUACAUUUUUGUCAUGUCAUCUGCAACAGACGAUCAUACAUAUGUGACGGAUUAUCGAUAUAGCUAGGUAGCAAUAGCAGUGGAAGCCCGGAUUUGCAAGCCAAAUGAGGGAAAGACAGAAUUCUGAAAAGGAGCAUGUUUUUCAUUUCCACACAUGCAUGUGUAUCACUAUGGACAUCUAAUGCUUUUGUGGGAUUUUGUCCAGCAGUUUGCCUUAAAAGCAUUUUUUUAUAUUUUAGUUUCAUAUUUAUGUGGAUUCCAAUAAAAAUCAUACAAACUUC
rnacentral:sRNA from 1 species